rnacentral:lncRNA from 10 species
UGAAAGGGCUGCACCACUGCCGAGCUAUGGGACAGAUGGAUUUCAACAGAGUGAUGACAUUAUGGGAAGCACAUUAACCUUCUCCAAAGCAGCAACAAAAGAAAAGCAAGAUUCAAUCACUGGAAUGAAAAACUAUUUCACAAAUUCAGUGAAUGUUUUAAGUCCUCUAAAAUUUGGCAUUUUGACUUUUGGAAUUAAUGAGUAGGAAAAUUUAUUUAAAAUGAAUAUUCCCCCAAAAAGAGAAGCCAUUUGAACCCUAAACUCUCUCAUCCAACAGAGCUAGCAAAUUAGAUUUAAGAAGAAAGAUAAUUUGAUUCCUCUGAGUUUCUCUACAAGGAAACAUCAAUCAGAGUGAAAGAAGAAUACACACUUUCCAAGGAACUUCUUGCAUUUCCCUCCAGGAGGAAAGUCCAGAGAAAUAAUUGGGUCUUUUAAUCCUCCGAGAAUGGUCUCCAAUGGCUGGCACUAGGACCAAAAAUCUCAGCAACCACGGGGAGAUGGCAGUGUGUAUUUCACACAGAGCACAGCUCCUGAUGUCAGAGGCCUCAGCUGGGAAGACUUGAAGGCAAGGAGAGGACGGUGUGACUCAACGGCUGAGGAUUAGAAUCAUCUCCAGCAGUCUUCACUAACAUGUCUGGCAGUUGAUGCUGGCUGUCAGCAGGGACCUCAGCUGGUCUGUCAGCCAGAAAACAUACCUGUGUAUUCUCCAUGUGGUCUCCCAAUGUGGACUAGUUUCGGUUCUCACAGCAUGGCAGCUGGGUUCCAAGAGCAGACAUCCCAAGAGAGCCAGGCAGAAGUCUUAUUGCUUUUAUGACCUUGUGUUGGAAGUCACAUAGUGUCACACAGUACCACCAGAUUUAUAAGGAGGACACAAGAAACCCACAUUUCAAAUGGAAGGAGUGUCAACGUCACAUUGAAAGAGGAGCAUGUGAAAUGAAGGAUAUUGUUGCAAGCUAUUGAGAAAACACAAUCUGAUGGAGAGUAAGAGAGACAGUGAGAGACAAACUUUUAAGUCAACCUGAAAGAUGACUACCUCUAACGGCACAGCCAUAUGACAAAACAAUUUGAGGAUGCACUUAAUUUUGAAGAGUCAAAUAACCAUUGCCUAAACACAACAAUUCAUUCAGAACUAUUGAAAGCAUGCUAGGCUUCUAUACUUUGAAAGAGAAUGGACUAUCACAUAUUUUUCAAAGCCACUUCUCAAAUUAGGCAGUGCAAAGGUAACAAACAAAAUAAAGGUUUUUUCAGAUAUAUAGAUAACCAGGACUUAUCAUAAACUAGGUAAGGAGAAUAAUUCAGUCAAGCUAGCAUGUGCCUAGAAAAUGAACAAAAACAACUCUAUUUGUAAGCAUUCUGUUCUUUUUCAGGACUAAAUUGUAAAAUUCUUAUGAUUUAAAAAUAGUGGUCCUUUAUUGUGCACUCAUGUGCAAAGAGCUUUAGUGGAAUGUGCACUUUUUAAAUAUCUGAUCCUUGUAACAUUAUGAAAUUAGUAUAUUUCCCUCCAAUUUAUAGAUAAGAAAGCUAAAGCUCAGUCUAAAUAAUUUAACCAAUUCUACCUGCAUCCCAAAUUCAUGCACAUUCUAUUAUCAAAGGCUACUUUUGGUUUGUUUAUAAAAUUUUCUUCCAAAGGAUACUUAAGUUAAAAAUAACCCAGAC